AAUAGGUGGGCCCCUACAUGGACGUCUGGGAAGAGGAAACCAACAGCUCUCCUGCUUCCAUACCCCCUGCAGUCUUGGCUGAGCAGCAAGCAUGACCCCCUCUGCUGUGGCUUCUGAAUUGAGACACCAAGAAUUUUUACUGCACAUAUGAUUUAUCCAUUGGUCAGUAUAUUCCUGCUGCUGGAAAGAUUUUAUAGUUGUGCUGUGACCAUAUGCAGCUGAGGCCAGAAGGAGGCUGACGUAUACAAGAGUGUCUUUAGAGGGGAAGAUUUACUCAUGGGGGCAGCCCCCAGGGGAGCAGAUAGAGACCAGCUGGGAGGGGCUGUCUGAUGGAAAGGUGUUUCUUAAAUCUGUCCUUUGCCUUGUGAACCACAGAAAGACUCACAUGGCCAUGACCACGUUUCCAGGAACAAUGAUGGGAAAGAUGACUUAAGUAAUGACUAGCUUCUCAAGCCUUCCACUUUGCACCAGCUCCUGAGAAACUAGCCCUCGAGCUGCGGUCAGCAGACAUAAUGACGUAGGAGGCUGAAGGUUCUCCACAUGAAAGCAACACCACAUUGUAUAUUUCUUUUGCUGGAAGUUUUCUUCUCUGACGGAAAGUUUAUCAACUUCUGAGGCCUCACCUGCCUGAAUAUCUGGAAUCCUCCCAAGUAAGUGGUUUGCCUUGGUCUUGUGGAUGCUGUGAAGUCAGAAAUGUGUGUUUCUCUCUUUGUGGAGAUGUUAGGACACUCACGCUAGUUAGAUCCCAGGGUACGUCCUGUAGCAUACAUUUCCCCCUACUAAUGCUAUUUCUAACUUCAUUUAGUUUUCCUGCCCCUAUCUUCUUAUGUUUGGGCUUGCUCACUUAUUUUAAUCUUACAGAAUUAUUUAUGCACAUUUUAAUAAAUCUUGAAUUCUGCUCACAACGACUUGGAGGUAGGUAUUCAUAAAUACAUUAAUAAAAUAGGAAGAAAAACUGCCGGCUGCAUAUACUUAUGUUUAAACAUUCCUGGAGGUUUCAAGAAUGUAUCUAGCUGGUUUUUAUGUGCUUCAGGUCCCCGAGUAAAAAAUUCAUAAACAGCUGGCCCCUCGUGUGGUUGAAAAUCCAUAAAUCCAUGGAUAAUCUUUUUUUUUUUUUUUAAGAUUUCAUGUAUUUAUUCAAGAGAGAGAGAGAAAGAGAGAGAACAGAAUGUGCAAGAGAGCACAAGCUGGGAGGAA